GGAAGGGGUGGAGCGGCGCCAAGCCUUGCGCAUGCGCAGUCCUCCUUGAACGCACCUCAGGAUGGCCCGUACUUUGGAACCACUAACAAAGAAGAUCUUUAAAGGAAUUUUGGUAGCCGAACUUGUAGGCCUUUUUGGAGCAUAUUUUUUGUUUAGCAAGAUGCACACAAGCCAAGAUUUCAGGCAAACAAUGAGCAAGAAAUAUCCCUUCAUCUUGGAAGUUUAUUACAAAUCCACUGAGAAGUCUGGAAUGUAUGGAAUCAGAGAGCUGGAUCAAAAAACAUGGUUGAACAGCAAAAAUUAGAUCCAGUCAUCACGUUCAGCCUCCCAUCUAAGCUGUUUGAGACCUUUGGGAGAAGAAAAGAUGAGUGUACUACCACACUGUAGACUCCUGGCGGUCCCACAGAACAUGCUGCUGAGUCACAGGAACUUCUAGCCUGCCUUGGCCUGCCGUUUCCCACCCACUAUACAAACCCACUGCUUGUUUGUUGCUUUUCUUCUCAUAUUUAUUGUCAAAGAUUAAUGUUUCAUAAAGAAAUGACUAAGGAAGGAAAAGAAACAAAUGCUCUAAAGAUCUUCUUUCCCCAAGCAGUUUUACUGGUGAAAUAACAAUCAAUAUCA